GUCGUCAGAACGAACGCUGGCGGCAGGCUUAAUACAUGCAAGUCGAACGCGUCCUUCGGGACGAGUGGCAGACGGGUGAGUAACGCGUGGGAACCUACCCUUGGGUACGGAAUAACUCGGGGAAACUCGAGCUAAUACCGUAUAUUCCGGUAACGGCAAAGAUUUAUCGCCCAAGGACGGGCCCGCGUCAGAUUAGCUAGUUGGUGGGGUAACGGCCUACCAAGGCUACGAUCUGUAGCUGGUCUGAGAGGAUGAUCAGCCACACUGGGACUGAGACACGGCCCAGACUCCUACGGGAGGCAGCAGUAGGGAAUCUUGGACAAUGGGCGAAAGCCUGAUCCAAGCCAUGCCGCGUGAGUGAUGAAGGCCUUCGGGUUGUAAAGCUCUUUCGCCCACGACGAUAAUGACGGUAGUGGGAGAAGAAGCCCCGGCUAACUUCGUGCCAGCAGCCGC
rnacentral:rRNA from 1 species